rnacentral:rRNA from 1 species
AUUGAACGCUGGCGGCAGGCCUAACACAUGCAAGUCGAACGGUAACAGGAAGCAGCUUGCUGCUUCGCUGACGAGUGGCGGACGGGUGAGUAAUGUCUGGGAAACUGCCUGAUGGAGGGGGAUAACUACUGGAAACGGUAGCUAAUACCGCAUAACGUCGCAAGACCAAAGAGGGGGACCUUCGGGCCCCUUGCCAUCGGAUGUGCCCAGAUGGGAUUAGCUAGUAGGUGGGGUAACGGCUCACCUAGGCGACGAUCCCUAGCUGGUCUGAGAGGAUGACCAGCCACACUGGAACUGAGACACGGGCCAGACUCCUACGGGAGGCAGCAGUGGGGAAUAUUGCACAAUGGGCGCAAGCCUGAUGCAGCCAUGCCGCGUGUAUGAAGAAGGCCUUCGGGUUGUAAAGCUCUUUCGGCAGGAACGAAACGGUGGCCCCUAAUACGGGUUGCUAAUGACGGUACCUGAAGAAGAAGCACCGGCUAACUACGUGCCAGCCGCCGCGGUAA